rnacentral:rRNA from 1 species
CAGUAGCCACGGGAAUACGAAGGGGGCUAGCGUUGCUCGGAAUGACUGGGCGUAAAGGGCGCGUAGGCGGAUUGUUUAGUUAGGCGUGAAAUUCCUGGGCUUAACCUGGGGACUGCGCUUAAUACAGGCAGUCUAGAGUGAGGAAGAGGGUUGUGGAAUUCCCAGUGUAGAGGUGAAAUUCGUAGAUAUUGGGAAGAACACCGGUGGCGAAGGCGGCAACCUGGUCCUUGACUGACGCUGAGGCGCGAAAGCGUGGGGAGCAAACAGGAUUAGAUACCCGUGUAGUCCCUGUCUCUUAUAC